ACAGCAUCAGAUGUGUCUGACUUCUAAGGAAAAUGAGACCCCAGACACAUUGAUGGGUCAGUUCAGCAAAAACAAGAGUGGCAUUCCUGUCUGGAGAGGGUGGAGAGGAAGAGAGUCAGACACCUAUAGCACCGCGUCAUAGCCCAUGAAGCUUCUCCAGAGCAGGUGGAAGCAGGAAACGGAACCCAGGAGCCCUUCCAUCUGGAGCAGAUGACUUCAGAGACCCCAGGGCAGCUGGUCCGCAAGGCCAGGCAGUAGAGAAGGAGCCAGCAGGGGAGAGGUUCCUGCACAGCAUUAGAUGUGUCUGACUUCUAAGGAAAAUGAGACUCCAGACACAUUGAUGGGGCAUCAACAAGACUGUGGAUAGGAAAUGAGUGAGC